AUUCUACCCAUGUGGGAAGGAUGAAGCUUCGACUAAGGUUCGAUUCGAGCGCAGCGAAAGCGUUACGAGCAACGACGAAAGAGCGAAAGCGCGCAGCGCUGAGGUAAUCGCUUCCCCACCACCA
rnacentral:sRNA from 1 species